rnacentral:other from 1 species
GCGCUCAAGGAUUAGGGCAUCUUCAGGAAGAAGAUUCGGUUAUUCAGGAUGAAUAGUCGGCAAGGAAAGCGAAAGGACAUUGAAUGGACUUCAAUAGUAACUAGGAUGGUUGCUACUAGGGAAAGACAAUGGACACCUCUGGAUGAGGCAAGGACUGAACAUCAGGAUGAUGUAAGGGACACCGCUCAAGGAACAAGUGAAGUGAGCUAACGAGGAUUGUUAGCUGGUCAGGAUAAGACCAUACGGACACCGCUAGGAAGGCGACGCAAGGAUUAAGCUGACGGAUUCAGCAAACUAUCAUGGAUUUGAUGCAUGGAGCACUUUUAGUAGCCGGAUUGCUGCGAGUAAGACUAUAACCCCGAUGGGCUUUCGCCCUCGGGGUUUUUCUUUGU